UGGGGAAUUUUGGACAAUGGGGGCAACCCUGAUCCAGCCAUGCCGCGUGCAGGAUGAAGGUCUUCGGAUUGUAAACUGCUUUUGUCAGGGACGAAAAGGAUUGUGUUAAUACCAUGAUCUGCUGACGGUACCUGAAGAAUAAGCACCGGCUAACUACGUGCCAGCAGCCGCGGUAAUACGUAGGGUGCAAGCGUUAAUCGGAAUUACUGGGCGUAAAGCGUGCGCAGGCGGUUCUGUAAGACAGAUGUGAAAUCCCCGGGCUCAACCUGGGAAUUGCAUUUGUGACUGCAGGACUAGAGUUCAUCAGAGGGGGGUGGAAUUCCAAGUGUAGCAGUGAAAUGCGUAGAUAUUUGGAAGAACACCAAUGGCGAAGGCAGCCCCCUGGGAUGCGACUGACGCU
rnacentral:rRNA from 1 species